rnacentral:tRNA from 1 species
UCCUCGUUAGUAUAGUGGACAGUAUCUCUGCUUGUCAAGCAGAAGACCAGGGUUCGAUUCCCUGAUGGGGAG